GAUGAACGCUGGCGGCGUGCCUAAUACAUGCAAGUCGAGCGAACGGAUGAGAAGCUUGCGUCUCUGAUGUUAGCGGCGGACGGGUGAGUAACACGUGGAUAACCUACCUAUAAGACUGGGAUAACUUCGGGAAACCGGAGCUAAUACCGGAUAAUAUUUUGAACCGCAGGGUUCAAAAGUGAAAGACGGUCGUGCUGUCACUUAUAGAUGGAUCCGCGCUGCAUUAGCUAGUUGGUAAGGUAACGGCUUACCAAGGCAACGAUGCAUAGCCGACCUGAGAGGGUGAUAGGCCACACUGGAGCUGAGCCGCGGUCCAGGCUCCUACGGGAGGCAGCAGUAGGGAAUCUGCCGCAGUGGGCGAAAGCCUUACGGAGCAGCGCCGCGUGAGUGAUGAAGGUCUUCGGAUCGUAAAACUCUGUUACGAGGGAAGAACAUAUGUGUAAGUAACUGUGCACAUCUUGACGGUACCUAAUCAGAAAGCCACGGCUAACUACGUG
rnacentral:rRNA from 1 species